GUCCGGAACCCAGCCACACAGGAUGUGUUCACAGUAUGACCUUGGACCUGGCACCUUUGUACAAUGAUGUCACGGUGGAUGGUAGGAGAAGCCUGUACGAAGUUUACUGUGCGAGUGUUCUGCUUCCCAGGAAAAUGGUUUUCAUUGACCAAAUCUGAAAAACGUCUUUACUGAAGAAUGUAUCGUCCUACUUCAGGGUCUCCCACUGACAGGCCUUUAUGUCAAUAAAUAAUUCAGAAGGCUACAACAAGAAGAAAGAAAGAAGAGAGGAAGAAAAACGGGACUCAGCAGCCCUGACUCUGGCCUUGUGAGCUAGAGGGCAGCUGCUUUCUAUUCUAAUGACUAAAGGCUGGGUAGAGCUGAGCAAGCAACAUUGAGCCAGGCCCCUGACAUCUGUGCAGGAGAAACUUAGCCUGGCCAAGCUUCCUGAAGAUCCACUUCCUGAAGUGAAAUCUUUGGAUCUUUUAAUAUUAACUGACAUCAUCAGGUUAACAAUGUAAACACGAAAAGGAACCCGGCAUUGUCCUAAUUCUCCCCUCAAAAAUCUCCAGGGCUCAAAACUUGCUGUUGUCUUUACUUUUAAAAAUGUGCUAUGAAUACGGAGCUAUUACUUCCUUUCAUGAGUUGGCAAGGGGAUUGCAAAAUGGUCUUACUUCCUAUUGCUAUGGCUUUCCCUGGAGACCUUCCCUUGCCUGGUGACCCACAACACUGCAACAACAGGCCAACUGAGGUACUGUCUGUAUGUCCAAGAAUGAGAUUUUUGUAAUCAAACAUCUAAAAAUUGACAUGCCAAGUAUUAAAGAGAUGCAUAUAAACACAGGUAAGAGCUAACAGUGUGCACUGUAUACUUAAAACAAGAACAGACAAGGAAAACAGAAAAGACAGUAACAAGUGAAAAAACUGCCAGCACAGAAAGGAAUUAAGUGCGCCAGAAAGAAAGACUUUUAAAGAAUCAGAAAGGCAACUCACUCAUAUUUUUUAGAGAUGCCCAAAAUGGUCUCGAAACAAAGGGAGUUUUAAAACUGUUUAGUCUGAGGGCCACAUCAUCUGUAGAACACGGAUGUUAGUGAAACACUGGUUUUAAGGCUGUAGCAAUAAAAUUUAGGCGGGAGUCCAUAACAGACACCAAUGCAAAUGAUGCAUGCAGACAUUGACAAACACUUUGCCCGCCUACUAGUAAUGUUUUCCAUAAUUACGCUGUGACUUAAAGAGUUCAUGUGGAGAGGUGACUGUGGAACAGGGACAAGUGUUCCUGCAUCAGCGGUCAGAGUUCAGACAUCUAAUUACUUCCUCCUCGAGGAUAUUGAAAAAUAUCACUGGCUAGGCACUCAAAAUUAUUUUAGAUAUAUUUUUUAAGUGAGUCAUUCUGAUCAUCUGAAACAUCAGAAAAUGUUCUUGUUUAACAAAGAGGCACAUUGCUGAAGACAGAGAAAAAAAUAUUGAGUGAAAAUGACCAGGAAGACCAUCGUAUUUUGCUUGUAUUUUAGAUGCAUGGGAGACAAUCAUUUUAAAAAACCUCUGCAAUUUGACAAGAGUUAUGGAUGUAACAGACACAUAUAAUUAUUAUUACUUUGUUCACUGGAAAGAUUCUGUGUGCAAAGGUUUGGGCCGUACAGUCUUUGAGAUCUAGAACUUUUUGAGCUAUGUGGUAAUUAACCUGAAGCAAUUUAAAUAGCUUUCUUCAGUAUUCAGAGAACAUCGCCGAAAAGCUCACUAUUGUAAAAAUUAUCCUUGAGAUUUAUGUAGCAGAAAAUUUAUGGGUCUUCUUUAUCGCAACUAAAGAGCUUUGAAAAUUUAAAGUGUUUGUAAAUUCCAGUCACAUUCACAUAGAUAUUAAAAUGAUGAUAUUUUUAUCAGUUUCAUGAAUGCAAUUGGUUUGACUCGAUAAAUGUUUAAUGAGUAUUUUCCUAUGUUUAGAUCUGUAGAAGUGUCAAAUAAAUAAUAAA